AGUGAACGCUGGCGGUAGGCCUAACACAUGCAAGUCGAACGGCAGCACAGUAAGAGCUUGCUCUUACGGGUGGCGAGUGGCGGACGGGUGAGGAAUACAUCGGAAUCUACUUUUUCGUGGGGGAUAACGUAGGGGAACUUACGCUAAUACCGCAUACGACCUACGGGUGAAAGCAGGGGAUCUUCGGACCUUGCGCGAUUGAAUGAGCCGAUGUCGGAUUAGCUAGUUGGCGGGGUAAAGGCCCACCAAGGCGACGAUCCGUAGCUGGUCUGAGAGGAUGAUCAGCCACACUGGAACUGAGACACGGUCCAGACUCCUACGGGAGGCAGCAUUGGGGAAUAUUGGACAAUGGGCGCAAGCCUGAUCCAGCCAUACCGCGUGGGUGAAGAAGGCCUUCGGGUUGUAAAGCCCUUUUGUUGGGAAAGAAAAGCAGCAGGUUAAUACCCCGCUGUUCUGACGGUACCCAAAGAAUAAGCACCGGCUAACUUCGUG
rnacentral:rRNA from 1 species